AACGUAGGAGACAAACGUUAUCCGGAGUUACUGGGCGUAAAGGGCGUGUAGGUGGUUUCGUAAGUCUGGCGUGAAAUUUUUCGGCUUAACCGGGAAAGGUCGUCGGAUACUGCGGAGCUAGAGGACGGUAGAGGCGUGUGGAAUUCCGGGUGUAGUGGUGAAAUGCGUAGAGAUCCGGAAGAACACCGGUGGCGAAGGCGGCCUGCUGGGCAGUGGCUGACACUGAGGCGCGACAGCGUGGGGAGCAAACAGG
rnacentral:rRNA from 1 species